AUUGAACGCUGGCGGCAGGCCUAACACAUGCAAGUCGGACGGUAGCACAGAGGAGCUUGCUCCUUGGGUGACGAGUGGCGGACGGGUGAGUAAUGUCUGGGGAUCUGCCCGAUAGAGAGGGAUAACCACUGGAAACGGUGGCUAAUACCGCAUAACGUCGCAAGACCAAAGAGGGGGACCUUCGGGCCUCUCACUAUCGGAUGAACCCAGAUGGGAUUAGCUAGUAGGCGGGGUAUGGCCCACUUAGGCGACGAUCCCUAGCUGGUCUGAGAGGAUGACCAGCCACACUGGAACUGAGACACGGUCCAGACUCCUACGGGAGGCAGCAGUGGGGAAUAUUGCACAAUGGGCGCAAGCCUGAUGCAGCCAUGCCGCGUGUAUGAAGAAGGCCUUCGGGUUGUAAAGUACUUUCAGCGGGGAGGAAGGCGGUGAGGUUAAUAACCUCGCCGAUUGACGUUACCCGCAGAAGAAGCACCGGCUAACUCCGUGCCAACAGCCGCAGUAA
rnacentral:rRNA from 1 species